GAGAAAUAAAUCGACUGUAUAUAUAUAGGAGACACCCAAGGUCUUAAAAUAUAAACAUUCUCUUUUCAUUAUUUAAAGUAUUAUUCACAAAUUUUCCUCUCAUACUAUUAAGGUAUUACGACGAUGCUGUGUGCUAAGAAAAAUGUGUUUAGACGCAAAGGCUCCUCAUCUUUCAUCGACUCUGCCACCCACUUUGCCUUAGAAGUUCAAUAAACAUGUACAGCCUAAUAAAGGACUAACCCGCCAAGGCAAUGGGAACUCAGAAGAGCUACAUUGUGUCAUUGCUGUUAUUCGACAUUAUGUUUUCUUAGCAUAUAAAUCACCUUUAUCUCAUCUAUACUUCUAUCUAUUAAAAUUUUGUUAUUACAUGACAGUGGCGAUCGAACUCCAAAACAGAAGGUGAAACUAAAUGUUACAGAGGAGAAACUGUUAAACCUGAUGCUGAAGUACAAUGGUGGAAAGCCAAGAGCUGAGACAAAACUAAAAAGUGCAGUCCAGUUGCAAGACCUAUUAGAUGCAACAAGAAUGUUAGUUCCCCGUACAAGACCAGGUCGUGAGAGUGAUAGUGAUCCAGAAGACCUUGAACAUGCUGAGCAGCUUCGCCAAGUUAAAGCAGUUAUUGAAGAGGUUCUUUAGUAUUUUCUUUUUUUUUUGUUGAAUAUAGUCCGAGAAAAGUAUUACAUAGUAUCAUUUAGUAAUACUAUCUUAUAUCAUUUUUUUGUUGAAUAUACUAUCUUAUAAGUAAAUUAGCAUUAUGCGUAUUUUAUUUAAUUCAUGAGGUCAUUUUCAAAGCUGUCAAAAAACCUAGAAAAUUAAUAAUCGAACCAGCUACCUUUUUUUAUUAGACCGGAUAUUAGUUCCACCAAUAAUCGUGGUCAACCUACCAACAUGGUGCAUAUAUGUCAAAUUGACAAAUCUACGUUUAAGUAACCCAACCUGUAAGGGAUUUAGAUUUUUUUUAUGAAUCUCGUGGACUGAUCUAUCGUAGAUUGGGGUUCAUAGGUGAAGUUUCAAGAAAUUGUUAUAAUUUGAUUGGUCGGUUGUUUUUACUUUUUAUUUAUUUAAUUUAGAUCUAAAAAUUUAAGAUAAGUCUAAAAUCAUUUAACAUCACUUGUCAUAUAAUCUAACGAAUAUUACAAAUAACAAUUUAUGAAAACUAAUUUUCGAAAUUAUAGAAAGAUUAAUAAUGUUUUGUUUAUUACUUUUAAUA